GAUGAACGCUGGCGGCGUGCCUAAUACAUGCAAGUCGAGCGAACAGACGAGGAGCUUGCUCCUCUGACGUUAGCGGCGGACGGGUGAGUAACACGUGGAUAACCUACCUAUAAGACUGGGAUAACUUCGGGAAACCGGAGCUAAUACCGGAUAAUAUAUUGAACCGCAUGGUUCAAUAGUGAAAGGCGGUUUUGCUGUCACUUAUAGAUGGAUCCGCGCCGCAUUAGCUAGUUGGUAAGGUAACGGCUUACCAAGGCAACGAUGCGUAGCCGACCUGAGAGGGUGAUCGGCCACACUGGAACUGAGACACGGUCCAGACUCCUACGGGAGGCAGCAGUAGGGAAUCUUCCGCAAUGGGCGAAAGCCUGACGGAGCAACGCCGCGUGAGUGAUGAAGGUCUUCGGAUCGUAAAACUCUGUUAUUAGGGAAGAACAAGUGUGUAAGUAACUAUGCACGUCUUGACGGUACCUAAUCAGAAAGCCACGGCUAACUACGUG
rnacentral:rRNA from 1 species